CCCUCUACCAAAAAGCCCUUAAUUAUACUUUUUAAUAAAUAUUUUGUCUUCCUGUUACGAACAGCCUCAUAAAAAUUCAAAGAAAAAUCAAAAUUUUUUGCAUGAGAAAUACUUCACAUUUUCAAAACAAAAGAAAACGCCGCUUGUCAAAUAUUCAGAAGACAUAAGUGACUAAUAAAAGUUUUUCGCUAUGCAAAUAAUUUUUCUAACUGGAAGUGCUGGGAUUGAGAGGCAAUCAAUAAAGAUGUAAAUUGAAAGAAAAACAAAUUCUGAGUCUUAUCGGAAAAUUGGUUGGCAGCAAACAAUUCAAGGUAAAAUAACGGCGAAAAAGUGAAAUGAAGAAAUCAGCGAGAAGUAUACAGUGGAGCUCGCUGACAGUGAGCUGAAAGCUAGUCAAUACUUCCAUAUUAAACUUGUCUGGAUGCCCAGCCUGGAUCGAAUGGAAAGCCAGAGUGGAGCGCAAAAUCUCCAUGGAACUACCAGCUUUUAGCAAGGUUCACAUGGCCGCAAUGAUAGGCGUUUUGACUGGAUACUGUCCGCUUGGCACUCACGCGGUGAAUCUAAAGAUGGUGGAGCACGCAACUUCCCAAAGUUGCAGAAAAAAAGAUGAGGCUGUUUAUCACACCGUUCUUGUACGACAAAUGCAAUUAAAAGUGAGUCGAAAAUGCAAUAAGUCAAGCAAAGUUUUGCACGACACAAGGCACUUGGCACUUGGCGCACGACGGCAAAAUAUGUGUGUAACGUAAGCACACAGAAGACACAUUGCGAAGACUUGUAAGGAGCAAAAGGUGAUUAUGAGUACCGAAGCAGUGGAAGCAGAUUCGAAGCAGAAACUGACUAAUUUGAUAAAAAACUACUUCAUUAACUGUACAACUGACAGUAACGACAUAAAGUGUUUUAAGUUGAUUUAUGUGACUACGUGUAUGUAUUGGUGCAGUCGAAGGGUAAUGCGUGCAGCGAGAAAGUGUUUAUGGAUGCCGAGAGAGGAAGGCAUUAUUUUCCUCGCAAGACUGACUCACCUAAUUAUUGUAUUAAUGCUGGUCAAAGAUUUAGCAGACAAAAAUAAAUAUGUGUACAUAUCUGUAUGUAUAUACAUAUGUAUGUAUACUAUAUGGAUGAGAUGAUGAUGAUUACAUUUCUUGUGAACAAACUUUCAACCAACAAUUGCGAGAAUUGAAGACCCAAAAUGUUUUAACAACAUAAUUUUUUCUUUUAUUUUAAAAUUCUUUACAUAAUCUAAGUGUAAAUAACUACAUUUUUGUUUUUAUUUAUUUAUUUAAUAAAAAUAUUUUUAAAAUCAGGUUUCUAAUUAUUACAA